GAUGAACGUUGGCGGCGUGCCUAACACAUGCAAGUCGAACGGAAAUAGCAAUAUUUGAGUGGCGCACGGGUGAGUAACACGUAGCUAAUCUACCUCAAAGCGCGGGAUAACGUGUCGAAAGACAGGCUAAUACCGCAUAAGCUCCCGGACUGUAGAGGUUUGGGAGAAAAGGCGUAAGUCACUUUGAGAUGAGGCUGCGG
rnacentral:rRNA from 1 species